CCCUUAGAUGUUCUGGGCCGCACGCGCGCUACACUGACUGGUGCAACAAGUGUCUGACCUUGGCUCGAGAGGCCUGGGCAACCUUUGAACGCCAGUCGUGCUGGGGAUAGAUUCUUGCAAUUAUUAAUCUUCAACGAGGAAUUCCUAGUAAACGCAAGUCAUCAACUUGCAUUGAUUACGUCCCUGCCCUUUGUACACACCGCCCGUCGCACCUACCGAUUGAAUGGUCCGGUGAAGCCUCCGGAUUGGCGCGCACCUCGGUGCCGCCGAGAAGUUGGCUAAACCUUACCAUUUAGAGGAAGGUGAAGUCGUAACA
rnacentral:rRNA from 1 species